CAGUCGCCGCGGUAAUACAGAGGGUGCAAGCGUUAAUCGGAAUUACUGGGCGUAAAGCGCGCGUAGGUGGUUUGUUAAGUUGGAUGUGAAAUCCCCGGGCUCAACCUGGGAACUGCAUCCAAAACUGGCAGGCUAGAGUAGGGCAGAGGGUGGUGGAAUUUCCUGUGUAGCGGUGAAAUGCGUAGAUAUAGGAAGGAACACCAGUGGCGAAGGCGACCACCUGGGCUCAUACUGACACUGAGGUGCGAAAGCGUGGGGAGCAAACAGGAUUAGAUACCCCUGUAGUCCCUGUCUCUUAUAC
rnacentral:rRNA from 1 species